rnacentral:rRNA from 1 species
CCUGAUGAACAUAGCGAAUUGGUCCCACCUGAUCCCAUUCCGAACUCAGUAGUGAAACGAUUUAGCGCCGAUGGUAGUGUGGGGGUUCCCAUGUGAGAGUAGGUCAUUGUCAGGC